rnacentral:rRNA from 1 species
UACGAAGGGGGCGAGCGUUGUUCGGAAUUACUGGGCGUAAAGGGCGCGUAGGCGGUGUGUCAAGUCAGGCGUGAAAGCCCCGGGCUCAACCUGGGAACGGCGCUUGAGACUGGCACGCUCGAGUUCGGGAGAGGAUGGUGGAAUUCCCAGUGUAGAGGUGAAAUUCGUAGAUAUUCGGAAGAACACCAGUGGCGAAGGCGACUUACUGGACGAUUGUUGACGCUGAGGUGCGAAAGCGUGGGGAGCAAACAGG